GAAAGAAUCUGAUCCGUAAUUUCCGUUAUUCUCUCACUUAAAGAAGGUUCAAAAAUAUACCAAAAUUGUUGUAAAAAGGUGUUUAGCCAAGUGACAGUUUCGCUAUCAUUUUCUAAUUUUCGUGUAGAAAGAUAUCUCGUAUAGUCGUCUUUGAAAUUGACUUUAACACGUCGAUCGCAAAUUCGGUAGUACUGGAUACAAACAGCCAUAAUAAUGAAAAGACUCAAAAAUCCGAAGCGCAAAUAACCAAACAAAAAUGACAUGACUGCCGUAUACAAAACAAGCCUUGAAUCCUGGAAAUGUUGCAUAAAGAGAAUUUUAAGCUCAAUGCAUAAUUGUAAACGUUCAUCAGUCAGCCAAGGACAGUAUUGUGCCAAAAUGUUCCUAACCUUUUGGUGCCUUUGAAUGAAUUGCAUCGCAUCCCUUUUCCUUAAUUCCCUCUCGCUAACAGGAC